rnacentral:rRNA from 1 species
AUACGUAGGUGGCAAGCGUUGUCCGGAAUUAUUGGGCGUAAAGCGCGCGCAGGCGGUCCUUUAAGUCUGAUGUGAAAGCCCACGGCUCAACCGUGGAGGGUCAUUGGAAACUGGGGGACUUGGGUGCAGAAGAGGAAAGUGGAAUUCCAAGUGUAGCGGUGAAAUGCGUAGAGAUUUGGAGGAACACCAGGGGCAAAGGCGCAUUUCAGGGCCGUACCGGGAGCUGAGACGCGAACGCGUGGGGACCAGCCAGGAUGAGACAACGGGGUAGCCCACGUCGUGAACGGUGAGUGCUAAGUGUACGGGGGUGUCCGCCUGUGCGUGCUUUAGCUCCAAUAUUAAGGGAUACGCCUGGGGAGUUCGGUAGCAACGCGGAGACUGAAAUGAAUGGACGGGG